rnacentral:rRNA from 1 species
AUGCAAGUCGAACGAAGUCUUCGGACUUAGUGGCGCACGGGUGAGUAACAUGUGGGAAUCUACCUAGAGGUUCGGAAUAACUACGGGAAACUGUAGCUAAUACCGGAUGUGUCUGCAAAGAGAAAGAUUUAUUGCCUUUAGAUGAGCCCGCACUAGAUUAGUUUGUUGGUGAGGUAAAAGCUCCACCAAGACUACGAUCUAUAGCUGAUUUGAGAGGAUGAUCAGCCACACUGGGACUGAGACACGGCCCAGACUCCUACGGGAGGCAGCAGUGGGGAAUAUUGGACAAUGGGGGAAACCCUGAUCCAGCAACGCCGCGUGAGUGAAGAAGGCCUUAGGGUUGUAAAGCUCUUUCAUCAAUGAAGGUAAUGACAUUAAUUGAAGAAGAAGCUCCGGCUAACUCCGUGCCAGCAGCCGCGGUAAUACGGAGGGGGCUAGCGUUGUUCGGAAUUACUGGGCGUAAAGCGUAUGUAGGCGGAUCAAAAAGUUAGAUGUGAAAUCCCUGAGCUUAACUUAGGAACUGCAUUUAAAACUAGAGAUCUAGAAUUUGGUAGAGGGUAGUAGAAUUUCCAGUGUAGAGGUGAAAUUCGUAGAUAUUGGAAAGAAUACCAGUGGCGAAGGCGACUAUCUGGGCCAUUUUUGACGCUGAGAUACGAAAGCGUGGGUAGCAAACAGGAUUAGAUACCCUGGUAGUCCACGCAGUAAACGAUGAGUGCUAGUCACUGGGUCAAUAGAUUCGGUGUCGAAGCUAACGCAUUAAGCACUCCGCCUGGGAAGUACGGUCGCAAGAUUAAAACUCAAAUAAAUUGACGGGGGCCCGCACAAGCGGUGGAGCAUGUGGUUUAAUUCGAAGCAACGCGAAGAACCUUACCAGUCCUUGACAUGGUGUGUUUGAAUUACAGUAUCGUAAUUCUUCAGUUCGGCUGGCACACACACAGGUGCUGCAUGGC